rnacentral:rRNA from 1 species
GACGAACGCUGGCGGCGUGCCUAACACAUGCAAGUCGAACGAAGUGGCGAACGGGUGAGUAACGCGUAAUCAACCUGCCCUUCAGCGGGUGCAAACAGGUGGAAACGACUGCUAAUACCGCAUACGGAAGGCGGGGAUUGCGUCUGAUUAGCCAGUGGGAGGGGGAACGGCCCACCAAGGCGAUGAUCAGUAGCCGGUCUGAGAGGAUGAACGGCCACAUUGGGACUGAGACACGGCCCAGACUCCUACGGGAGGCAGCAGUGGGGAAUCUUCCGCAAUGGACGAAAGUCUGACGGAGCAACGCCGCGUGAGUGAUGACGGCCUUCGGGUUGUAAAGCUCUGUUAAUCGGGACGCGGUACCGGAAUAGAAAGCCACGGCUAACUACGUGCCAGCAGCCGCGGUAAUUC